rnacentral:misc_RNA from 1 species
GCAGAGAGUUAAAAAAGAAAGAAAAAAGUGAAAACCAGGCUCUGAUCUAAAAUAUCUCAAAAGAAAAAAAAAAAAAAAUCUAUGAUAGCUCCUUUUAAUUUGUUACUUUUCAACCCACCAGUGAUGAUUAAAUGCAUCUGACAAUGAACAGAAAAAUAGAGAUAAGCUGUUGUGAACAAAAUGAUACUUUACCCCAGAUUCCCAGUCAAUUAGUGCCAAACAAAAAAUAUUCACAUACGCUCAUCUUAAAAACCAAAGCACUACGAUAAAGAAACCUUAAUAACUGAACUUAGAUAUUGUAGAACUACCACUAAACCAUUUUUGAGUCACUGAAUUA